rnacentral:rRNA from 1 species
CCAGACUCCUACGGGAGGCAGCAGUGGGGGAUAUUGCACAAUGGGGGGAACCCUGAUGCAGCGACGCCGCGUGGGCGAGGAAGUAUUUCGGUAUGUAAAGCCCUAUCGGCAGGGAAGAAGAAAUGACGGUACCUGAAUAAGAAGCACCGGCUAAAUACGUGCCAGCAGCCGCGGUAAUACGUAUGGUGCAAGCGUUAUCCGGAUUUACUGGGUGUAAAGGGGGCGCAGACGGCAGCGCAAGCCAGGAGUGAAAGCCCGGGGCCCAACCCCGGGACUGCUCUUGGAACUGCGCGGCUGGAGUGCAGGAGGGGCAGGCGGAAUUCCUGGUGUAGCGGUGAAAUGCGUAGAUAUCAGGAGGAACACCGGUGGCGAAGGCGGCCUGCUGGACUGCGACUGACGUUGAGGCCCGAAAGCGUGGGGAGCAAACAGGAUUAGAUACCCCAGUA